UACCAUUUACCUGCCAGUGAGAAAGGAGAAGAAAAAACAUAGAGGGGAGCCAGUUUUCAUUGUAAGGCUGGGACCUGGAUGUGGUGCCCAUCACUUCUAUGAGCCUGAGCUGAUUGGCGUGGCCACUCCUAGCUGUAAGGGAGGCUGGGAACUACACUGCCCUCUCCAACUGCCUGCCCUGCUCCUGCUCCAGGAUGCCCCGUGUUACUGAAAAGAAGAGGGUAAACGGGGAUGGGGGCAAUUAGAAGUCUCUGCCACUGCUUAUCAUAAUGGCGGAAAGGGCUGUGCAAGACUGAGAACACUGGGA
rnacentral:lncRNA from 1 species